AAUAAUCCAAGCUAACACAUUCAUAACGUCCAGAUUAAGGACAGAGGAAACAAAAAUUUGACGAUUUUCAGAACUUAGAUCUACCAAAGACGUAUAUAUACGUCCGUGGAUCUACCUAUUUAUUGUUGUUGUUGUUUUUCAUAUUUAUUGUUUACGUAGAUCUAGACUCUUAAUCGGAAAAUUAUUUUCAAAAGAAUUAUUAAUAAUAUCUGUCAUCAUUUUCCCGAUGACAGUGGCUGUCCACUCUGUAGCAUGAAGAAAUAUCUCCGUUUUCGAAGCUUCGCAUGAAUAACACGUACCAUGUGCCACACCAUUAUCUUCAACGUUUAUUUUGUCAUCUACACGACAGUCAACUCGCCUUGAGUAUUUACAUUACUAUAACAUGCUAUUUUAUUGGUUUCUGGUGACGCUUUCAUGCCGAAAUCUGCUAUAAGAUUCGUGAUUGGUCAAAUUGAGCACGUGACCUAAUACAACCAAUUACAGCAACGGUACUCGUGUAUAUCAGACUUUGACGAAAGUUUUUUGGUAAAUCGUGUUGUUCUGAACGUUUUAAGCAGGAAAUCGCGAUCUAUAUUAAAAAUAUGAAACUUCGUGGAUGUAUCGUGCCAGGUUACGAGCUGAGACAAAGAUUUUUCUUGCAUAUAUUUGGCAUUAAACAUUGUGGAGAAAUCGAGGCGAUAAAAGCCGCGAUGCCAUUUGACUCGCAUCACACGCGAUCGCACGAAAAGAUGGAAAUGAUAACUUAUAUCUAAGUUUGACAACUUUUAGACAGAUAAAUAAUUUUGUUGAUUUCAUUUAUUACUUUGUAAAAUAUAUCUAAAGAUUUGAUUGACACGUUUUCAUUUUGCUCUUUGACUUGUUCGAUGUGGACCCAUUGUCAAAGUGUGUGUCGGAGAAUUCUAUUUUCAAUAACAUUGCGGGAAAUAGAUCUAGUGAAUAAUAUUUUGAUCUAUGGAUAAAAAAUAAUAAUUUGAAAGAGAAGCAAAAACUGAAAAAGAGAGUCACCAAACCUUCAUCGAGAUAGAAUCUACGCCGACUCUGAGUUCAGCAAGGAUGACAACGUAUAUGUUCCUGAACAAACGCCCCCUUCCUUGUGGUGAUUUUUUAAGACAAAAAAUGAACGAUACUUCAUAGGAAGAGGUGUACUCCUGCUGAUGUGCCUGUUUCAUGAGAAGGGAUCGAGGAAAAGAAGCCAGUUGCUGCCUGGUGGCCAGCAACUUGGUGUUUUUACGAUGCUACCGACACCGAUGUGGUACUCGAAGUUCUGAAACCGGCAAAGAAAAAACAACUGGAACUUUGUGGUGAGCAAGAAGAUCUGCACACUUAGGAAUGCCUUCAAGUGAAUGAGCCAUGCCUCUUGAAGGACAGCUUCCAUGACGACUCCUGCCAGGACGAGGAUGACUUCCACUUUCAUAUGAUGACUUCCACUUUCAUAUGAUGGCUACCAUAUAAUGAUAUCUUCUGUUGAUGAUGUCCACCUCUGGCUACUUGUUAUUGCUGUUAUUACUCCAAAUAAAGAGAAUACUAUA